rnacentral:sRNA from 2 species
CUCAGGUGCCCGCCCGAACCAGACCCAGCAGUCGGGGGUCCGCUGUGGAGCGGAGCCGGGGAACCACGUUCCUCCGGGGUGAAUCGGCGCCAGGUCGGCCGCUCGCGCGGACGGUGAGGCGUCGUAGGGCACGCUUCCGCCCGAACCCGUCAGCUCACCCGGUAGGCGGAUGAGGAAGAAGGA